rnacentral:rRNA from 1 species
CCUACGGGUGGCAGCAGUAGGGAAUCUUCCACAAUGGGCGCAAGCCUGAUGGAGCAACGCCGCGUGGGUGAUGAAGGUCUUAGGAUCGUAAAACCCUGUUGUUAGAGAAGUAAGUGCGAGUGAGUAAAUGUUCACGUUUCGACGGUAUCUAACCAGAACGCCACGGCUAACUCCGUGCCAGCAGCCGCGGUAAUACGUAGGUGGCAAGCGUUAUCCGGUUUUAUUGGGCGUAAAGGGAACGCAGGCGGUCUUUUAAGUCUGAUGUGAAAGCCUUCGGCUUAACCGGAGUAGUGCAUUGGAAACUGGUAGACUUGAGUGCAGAAGAGGAGAGUGGAACUCGAGGUGUAGCGGUGAAAUGCGUAGAUAUAUGGAAGAACACCAGUGGCGAAAGCGGCCCGCUGGUCUGUAACUGACGCGGAGGUUCGAAAGCGUGGGUAGCAAACAGGAUUAGAUACCCCUGUAGUC